rnacentral:rRNA from 1 species
CCUACGGGUGGCAGCAGUGAGGAAUAUUGGUCAAUGGACGAGAGUCUGAACCAGCCAAGUAGCGUGAAGGAUGACUGCCCUAUGGGUUGUAAACUUCUUUUAUAUGGGAAUAAAAUGUUCCACGUGUGGGAUUUUGUAUGUACCAUAUGAAUAAGGAUCGGCUAACUCCGUGCCAGCAGCCGCGGUAAUACGGAGGAUCAGAGCGUUAUCCGGAUUUAUUGGGUUUAAAGGGAGCGUAGGUGGAUUGUUAAGUCAGUUGUGAAAGUUUGCGACUCAACCGUAAAAUUGCAGUUGAAACUGGCAGUCUUGAGUACAGUAGAGGUGGGCGGAAUUCGUGGUGUAGCGGUGAAAUGCUUAGAUAUCACGAAGAACUCCGAUUGCGAAGGCAGUUCACUGGACUGCAACUGACACUGAGGCUCGAAAGUGUGGGUAUCAAACAGGAUUAGAUACCCGAGUAGUC